rnacentral:rRNA from 1 species
AGUGAACGCUGGCGGUAGGCCUAACACAUGCAAGUCGAACGGCAGCACAGUAAGAGCUUGCUCUUACGGGUGGCGAGUGGCGGACGGGUGAGGAAUACAUCGGAAUCUACUUUUUCGUGGGGGCUAACGUAGGGAAACUUACGCUAAUACCGCAUACGACCUACGGGUGAAAGCAGGGGAUCUUCGGACCUUGCGCGAUUGAAUGAGCCGAUGUCGGAUUAGCUAGUUGGCGGGGUAAAGGCCCACCAAGGCGACGAUCCGUAGCUGGUCUGAGAGGAUGAUCAGCGACACUGGAACUGAGACACGGUCCAGGCGCCUACGUGGGGCAGCAGUGGGGAAUAGUGGACAUGGGGCGCAAGCCUGAGCGAGUCAUCACGCGUGAGUGAAGGAGGCCUUCGGGUUGUAGAGCCCUAUUGUGGUGAAAGGAAAGCAGCAGGUUAAUACCCCGCUGUUCUUACGGUACCCAAAGAAGAAGCACCGGCUAACUUCGUG